rnacentral:rRNA from 1 species
UACGUAGGUGGCAAGCGUUGUCCGGAUUUAUUGGGUUUAAAGGGUGCGUAGGCGGUCUAUUAAGUCAGUGGUGAAAUAUGGCAGCUUAACUGUCAAGGUGCCAUUGAUACUGAUGGACUUGAGUGAAGUCGAGGUUGGCGGAAUUUGACGGUGUAGCGGUGAAAUGCUUAGAUAUCGUCAAGAACACCGAUAGUGAAGACAGCUAACUAGACUUAUACUGACGCUGAGGCACGAAAGUGUGGGGAUCAAACAGG